UUCUACAGUUAGAGCAGCCAUCAACCCCAAUGGGAGACUCCCUGACAAGGCUGAUGAGAAAUACCUGCGUGCCUGGGGGGACUCAGACACAGCAGUGCUCCUCUGGUGACAACCAGACACCUAAUGGUGGCAGCCUGAAAGUACCCUGCAGUGCCCAGGGCGGGAGGGAAUAUUCGAGAUCUGAGAAGCAGGCUCUUGCUACCAUUACUAGACUCACGCUACAGCCUCCCUGUCCACGUGCACACGCCCCCUGGGCCGGUUUGGGCAGAUGCUCCCUGCCUGCUAGGUGUGCCGCGACCUCUCGGCCCUGCAGACCCGGGACUUCCCACCCAGCACGUGGAGCCACCAUUGCACCAUGAUGAGUGGAGAAGAGAGAACCUGAGGCUCAGAGAGGUGGGACUGCCUGAGUUCCCUCACGGUGCUGCCUGACAACAGAGGGGGCCAGAGCCCCCGUCCCAGGAUGCUGCUCCCUCUUAAAGAAAACAGGACUCUCAGGACAGCCUCCAAGAUUGAGUUUUUAUUGUUCCUUUGGGGCAGGAAGAUUGGCCCUGAGCUAACAUCUGUACCCAUCCUUCUCUAUUUCAUUUGUGGAUCGCCACCACAGCAUGGCUUGAUGAGUGGUGCAUUAAGUCCACACCCGGGAUCCAAACCUGCGAAUCCGGGCCACCAAGGCAGAGCACACCAGACUUAACCACUACGCCAUGGGGCCGGCCCCAGAUCAAGUUUUUAAUGAAGGGAGCCUUCCUGUUUUCAGGAAGCUGGAGAUAGUAUACAGUCAAUCCUGGUCAUGCAUCUCACUGUGCAGACACAAGUGCUGACGGCGCAUCUUGAGCGCUCCACCCAUGCCUGCGUCCUGCUCCUGCUCAACGGUGCACAGGCUCCGGGGGAAGAACACAACUGGAAGAGUCACCACAUCCGGCACCUGGUGACUCCCAGCACUAGUGUCAGCUCCUGGGGUUUCUUCAUCUUCCAGUCAUUUUUAUAAAUGAGAACAAAAUGCCACAAAAUAUUCAACUAACUGUGUCUAUGCUGUAGGCAAGAUGGAGACAGCCCGGGGACCCUGGAGCACCCCCUGUGGUGACAGCCGCCUUCCCACUGGCUGUUUCUUAUAACCACUGACAGAACUGGAGCCACAGCACCUGGUAUCAACUCGGAUCAGCACUCGUCGCUGUCACGUCCCUUGGCAAAACAGGAAGUCCUUCUUUGUGUGGAACACAUAUGAACAUGUGUGAAACACAUGUUCUGUGUAUGAUGUGUGCAAGCAUGUGUCACAUGAGUGCGUGUGCUGUGUGAGCAUGUGUGUCAUGUGUGAAUGAGAGGUCUUCCUAGGGCUCGUGCUCAGCGUGAUCAUGCUGGCUGGCUGACACAGGGCAAAGCCCAAGGCCACUCACCCUGUCUGCCAUCAGAGAUCACAUCCCGCUCCCCUUUCCGGACCACGGUCACAUUCCCCAGGGCCUGGCUGAGCCUCAGCACAGCUCCGUGGGGAUCACUGCUGUCCAAGGGGUCUCUCAGCUAUGACACAGGACACACAAACAAGGUUGUCAUCAGACACGUGAAAGGAGCCCACAAUCAUGGACACAACGCACAGAUCCUGCCCCUCAGGCUCUCACAUCAGGGAGAAGUGCCCAGGCACUUGCUGAUGGCCGGGCUCUCGCCCCACCCGCGGAGACGUAAGUUCCAUCCACCAGCUGGAAGGAGGCCCACAAGGUAGUGGGUAGCAAGUCCUCCGGGCGGACGCCGACACCAGCUCAUGGC